GUUUGAUCCUGGCUCAGUGACGAACGCUGGCGGCAUGCCUAACACAUGCAAGUCGAACGGACUUAGCUCUGUAGCAAUACAGUGGCGAAGUGUUAGUGGCGAACGGGUGAGUAACGCGUGAGCAACCUGCCUUUCAGAGGGGGACAACAGUUGGAAACGACUGCUAAUACCGCAUAAAGUAACGAGGGGGCAUCCCCAUGUUACCAAAGGAGAAAUCCGCUGAAAGAUGGGCUCACGUCUGAUUAGCUAGAUGGUAAGGUAACGGCUUACCAUGGCUUCGAUCAGUAGCCGGACUGAGAGGUUGAACGGCCACAUUGGGACUGGGAUACGGCCCAGACUCCUACGGGAGGCAGCAGUGGGGAAUAUUGGGCAAUGGGCGAAAGCCUGACCCAGCAAUGCCGCGUGAAGGAAGAAGGUUUUCGGAUUGUAAACUUCUUUUAUCAGGGACGAAAAACAAUGACGGUACCUGAUGAAUAAGCCACGGCUAACUACGUGCCAGCAGCCGCGGUAAUACGUAGGUGGCAAGCGUUGUCCGGAUUUACUGGGUGUAA
rnacentral:rRNA from 2 species